rnacentral:rRNA from 1 species
UUUCGAAUCAUUCACAAUGGGCGAAAGCCUGAUGGUGCGACGCCGCGUGAGGGAUGAAGGUCUUCGGAUUGUAAACCUCUGUCACCGGGGAAGAAACGCUUUGAGUUAAUAGUUCAAAGCCUGACUUAACCCGGAGAGGAAGCAGUGGCUAACUCUGUGCCAGCAGCCGCGGUAAUACAGAGACUGCAAGCGUUAUUCGGAUUCACUGGGCGUAAAGGGUGCGCAGGCGGCCAAGUGUGUGAGGCGUGAAAGCCCGAGGCUCAACCUCGGAAUUGCACCUCAAACUACAUGGCUAGAGCAUUGGAGAGGGUAGCAGAAUUCAUGGUGUAGCAGUGAAAUGCGUAGAUAUCAUGAGGAAUACCAGAGGCGAAGGCGGCUACCUGGACAAUUGCUG